UUUAUGACUACAUACAAGCCCGCUCUUAAUGGCAACGCUGCAUAGAACUCGAUGGAGGUUUUGCUGAUGCCUUCUCUUAUUUUUCAAACUCAGAGCCAAGCUGGAGGACGCAUAGGAGGAGGAGCUUCUAUAUCAGUAGUUGGAGGAGCAGCUUCCAUAUUGCAGUCAAGAGAGACUCCUUCGGCUCAGGAGCUUCAGCAGUUGCAGGAGGCUGAUCAUGUGAAGGAGGAUUAGUCAUUUCAUCAGAGGCAGUACGUGAAGGCUGCUUCGAUAUGCUGCGUGGUGGCGUAUCAUGUUCUCCUUUCUCUGAUUCAAUAGCGGCAUAACAAAUGCAACAAAGAAGCCUCCAGCAAACGUUUUCUCCUAAUUUCUAUCCAUUCUUCAUCCUGGC
rnacentral:lncRNA from 1 species